rnacentral:tRNA from 1 species
GUGGUCGUAGUUCAAUGGUAGAACACCGCUCUGUGGCAGCGGCCACGUGGGUUCGAUUCCCAUCGAUCACCCCA